ACUUUUUCUGUAAAUGACCAGAGUGUAAGUAAAUAUUUUAAAUUUGCUGGCCACAUAAAGUUUCUGUGACAAAUUCUUCCCUUUUUUUUUUCAAAAUAACCUUCAAAAAAUGUAUGAACCAGUCUCAGGUUGGCAGCCAAAGUGUGCCAACCUCUGACUCAGAUUAAGAUUACUGUCUGUGACAAAAUAAAUGCAUAAAUGCAGUACCAUUCCAAAAUAUUGCAAUAGUUACCUACUACUAAAAUACUUUAUAAAAAUGUGAAGCUAAAACACCUGAGGAAGGAAACAGAGACUCUAACUACAGAAGGGAUUUUUAACUUAGGGACCUGUUGACAGCUAUAAAUAGUUUUAAGAUAAAAGCAAUCUAUAUUAAUUUUCAUCAUCAAAGUAAACUUCAACAAGCAAAUUUCAACAGGUAGAUAAAUAA